UAUAAAAGCCAUUAGUUGUGGUACUUCACGUCAGCCACCAUUUUCCCACCAUUUCAACUUUUAUUUUUCUUUCAAUUUAAUCUCUCUCACCAAAUACAAAUCAAUUAAGCUGAUUUCUUCCAAAUUGGUGAGUAAAAUUAGUAGAGUACCCAACUAUUAAAAGAAAUGCAUCCAUACUUGUCUCAGAAGAGAGAGAAAAUAACAAUUAGUGUUGAAUACAAGUGAUUAAGUGAAGGGAAGUGAGAAACAAGUAGAGAAUUAAAGCGAAGGAGGAGCUAAAGGAGGAGGAAGAGGAAGAAAGCUUGAUUCCAUAUUUUGAGUUGUUAAAAGUAGAGGAGAAAAUAGAUCUUUGAAGAUUGAAAGCACAUAAUCUCAUCACAUCAGUGGAUCCGAGAAAGGGGUAUUACCCAGUCUUGAUCGGGUCAGUGUCGCGGAAGCUCGGUCAAACUUCUAUCCUUCCUUUUAAGCAUUAUUAUUAGGGAUCUAUGUUUUUUUUGAUAUUAUGGAAUUUAUGAAUGUUAUAUGUAUUAAAUUAUGGUUGUGACGAAUAUUACGUGGCGAAUGGUUCAAUUUGACUGUGCUAUAAUAGUAUGAAUUUUAGUA